UGUACACACCGCCCGUCACACCAUGGAAGCUGGUCACGCCCGAAGUCAUUACCUCAACCGCAAGGAGGGGGAUGCCUAAGGCAGGGCUAGUGACUGGGGUGAAGUCGUAACAAGGUAGCCGUACCGGAAGGUGCGGCUGGAUCACCUCCUUA
rnacentral:rRNA from 1 species